rnacentral:rRNA from 1 species
GUUGGUUCGACCCGAAGCCGGUGCGCUAACCGCAAGGAGGCAGCUGACCACGGUGGGAUCAGCGACUGGGGUGAAGUCGUAACAAGGUAGCCGUAGGUGAACCUGCAGAAGGAUCA